rnacentral:lncRNA from 1 species
UCCCCUGGAAGAGAGGUCACAUUUCCAUCAGGGGAAGGGAAGGGAAGGGAAAUUAAGGGAUGGAGGGAGCCAGGAGGCAGGGAGGGACUGUGAGAGUCUUGGGAUAGAGGAGAGGCAGCAAGGAAAGUGAGGACAAGGCAAGGAGGACAGGGUAGGGACAGGAGAGGGGAGAGGGCAGAUGUUAGAGAAAGGAGUCUUGGGGUGCCCACCUCUGAGGAUCCACUCAGGUGACAGCUACCCUGACGCUGGAGAACAUGAAUGGAACAAUAAAGGCUUCUGUUUUAGCAUCAUCUCCAGGAUCCAGCAGUCUUCUGGGAAAGGCAGAAGGUCAUCAAUCAAGUGCUAUCAGUGCUGGACUAGAAUCCCGACAGACACUGGAAGCACUCCAAAAGUGGUGCUGUACUACACAGGAAAGAAGAGGGAAGAAAAGACCAACCUGAAGAGAAUCCCGUGCUUCAGUUCCCACCUCCUUAGUGCCCAGUGGAGGAAGCUCAGACCUCCAGGAACCUUGUGCUGCAGGACCCCAGGAGCUGUGCUCAAGACGACUCCAGGAGCUGUGCAGAAGAUGACAUCAGAAACUGUGCUGAAGACUGCAAAGAGUAGUCAGCUCAGCAGUGA